rnacentral:lncRNA from 1 species
CUUAUUUGAGUUACAAGACUUGAUCCUGGUGAUAGCCCCAGGAGUGCUUUCUCCCCUGUUCCUGCAGAUAAUCCAAUCCUGUUGGUGAGCACAUCCUUCCCCAUAUUCGUAGUAGGUACAGCACUAUGUAUUCCUUGACCCCCAAUAUUCGUAGUAGGAACAGCACUAUGUAUUCCUUGACCCUUCCCUAGGUGCUCCCGGACUCCAGCUUUUUCUGCACGUUUCUGCUCUUUCUUCUUAUAAUUUCUUCCUUUUGUCCACAUAUUUUCAAGAUUUUCGGGAGUAAGAACUUCAGUUCUUCUUUG